rnacentral:rRNA from 1 species
AGUGAACGCUGGCGGUAGGCCUAACACAUGCAAGUCGAACGGCAGCACAGUAAGAGCUUGCUCUUACGGGUGGCGAGUGGCGGACGGGUGAGGAAUAAAUCGGAAUCUACUUUUUCGUGGGGGAUAACGUAGGGAAACUUACGCUAAUACCGCAUACGACCUACGGGUGAAAGCAGGGAAUCUUCGGACCUUGCGCGAUUGAAUGAGCCGAUGUCGGAUUAGCUAGUUGGCGGGGUAAAGGCCCACCAAGGCGACGAUCCGUAGCUGGUCUGAGAGGAUGAUCAGCCACACUGGAACUGAGACACGGUCCAGACUCCUACGGGAGGCAGCAGUGGGAAAUAUUGGACAAUGGGCGCAAGCCUGAUCCAGCCAUACCGCGUGGGUGAAGAAGGCCUUCGGGUUGUAAAGCCCUUUUGUUGGGAAAGAAAAGCAGCAGGUUAAUACCCCGCUGUUCUGACGGUACCCUAAGAAUAAGCACCGGCUAACUUCGUG